rnacentral:rRNA from 1 species
AGCAGCCGCGGUAAUUCCAGCUCCAAUAGCGUAUAUUAAAGUUGUUGCAGUUAAAAAGCUCGUAGUUGAAUUUCGAGACCGGUUUAUUGGUCGUGCUUUUGUACGUACUGGUAUUAUUGGUUUCUCCUUUCUGACGAAUCUUAAUGCCAUUAAUUUGGUGUUUUGGGGAAUCAGGACUGUUACUUUGAAAAAAUUAGAGUGUUUAAAGCAGGCUCACGCUUGAAUACAUUAGCAUGGAAUAACGGAAUAGGACGUUUGAUUCUAUUUUGUUGGUUUCUAGGAUCGACGUAAUGAUUAAUAGGGAUAGUUGGGGGCAUUAGUAUUCAAUUGUCAGAGGUGAAAUUCUUGGAUUUAUUGAAGACUAACUACUGCGAAAGCAUUUGCCAAGGAUGUUUUCAUUAAUCAAGAACGAAAGUUAGGGGAUCGAAGACGAUCAGAUACCGUCGUAGUCUUAACCAUAAACUAUGCCGACUAGGAAUCGGAUGAUGUUAAUUUUCUAAUGACUCAUUCGGCGCCUUAC